CCUACGGGAGGCAGCAGUGAGGAAUAUUGGUCAAUGGCCGUAAGGCUGAACCAGCCAAGUCGCGUGAAGGAAGAAGGAUCUAUGGUUUGUAAACUUCUUUUAUAGGGGAAUAAAGGUAUCCACGUGUGGAUAUUUGCAUGUACCCUAUGAAUAAGCAUCGGCUAACUCCGUGCCAGCAGCCGCGGUAAUACGGAGGAUGCGAGCGUUAUCCGGAUUUAUUGGGUUUAAAGGGUGCGUAGGCGGUUUUUUAAGUUAGUGGUUAAACGUCGGGGCUUCACCUUGAUUUGCCAUUAAUACUGUAAGACUCGAGUUCAGACGAGGUAGGCGGAAUAAGUUAAGUAGCGGUGAAAUGCUUAGAUAUAACUUAGAACUCCGAUAGCGAAGGCAGCUUACCAGACUGCGACUGACGCUGAAGCACGAGAGCGUGGGUAGCGAACAGGAUUAGAUACCCUUGUAGUC
rnacentral:rRNA from 1 species